GACAGAGGAUGCAGGCGUUAUCCGGAAUGAUUGGGCGUAAAGCGUCUGUAGGUGGCUUUUCAAGUCCGCCGUCAAAUCCCAGGGCUCAACCCUGGACAGGCGGUGGAAACUACCAAGCUGGAGUACGGUAGGGGCAGAGGGAAUUUCCGGUGGAGCGGUGAAAUGCAUAGAUAUCGCUUGGAACGCCAACGGUGAAAACAGGUUGCUGGGGGUGUGCUGACGCUGAGACACGAAAGCCAGGGGAGCGAACGGG
rnacentral:rRNA from 1 species